rnacentral:rRNA from 2 species
CUUGGUGGUUAUUGAGAAAGGGAUACACCUGAUUCCAUUCCGAACUCAGUAGUUAAGUCUUUCAUCGCUGAUGGUACUUGGGGCCUUGCCCCUGGGAGAGUAAGUCGCCGCCAAGA